rnacentral:lncRNA from 1 species
AGGUGAACACUCACGGCCAAAAAUAUUGGCAUAGCCAUAACAGUUGCAGACGGAUAAGGUAAGCUAAAACCUAAACGUUUUGAAGUUGUCACAUGGCCGUGUAAGACAUUUGAACAGAGAUUUAAUAUUAAAUUCCCAGCAAAAUAAAUACAAGCAACAAAGAAUUGAGAAGUACAUGGCAGGUGUGAACACAGCUCGCAACAUGCAUUAUAGAAGAAUUAAAAUUACCAUGCACCAUACUCUAAAGCAAAGACAUGGAACAAAUAAACUAAAGGUAAGUGUGCAACCGAUACAAAUGAGCCCCCAAAAAAGAAAAAUACAAAGAAAGCUCAUCAGUAACCUUCUUUGAAAGCACACAUCUUCUUUUCGCCAUAACAAGAUAUCUGAAAAACAUGACCAAAGUCACAAAAUGAGAAUUCAGUAAUUUAGUUAGUGGUACAAUAAAAUAUGAAAAGAAAAUAGAGCACAAAAAUACUAUUUUGAGAACAAAGUAGGGUAGUGAUUUACAGAAGGUACAAUUAAUGGAUGAAAAGUGUUCCAGCAAACAAAUUCGAUGUGAGCAAAGACAAGCGGACCGUGAGGGCACCUGUUGAAAACCGGAAACCAAAAAUAGCAAUCUCCGUAUAACACAAAGUAACAAAUCCUUUAAAAACCUAAAGGCUAGAGGCAAUAACCCAAGUCCUAAUCCUAGAGUAAUGAAUCCCAUUCUCUAAACUUCAAAAUGAUUACUAUAACUAAACGAUCAUUGGGAAAUGACUUUUAAGUUUUAAAUACAAUGGAAGAGCGCAAAACACAUGAAAACAAAAUAUCACACCACAAAUAAAAAAUAGAACAAAACCAAGCGCACCGUUAAAUUUGAAGAAGUGGAAUAACUUUCUUGGUGUAGAAAGACAAAACGCUAAAAAACACAAAAUUAGAAAGUAAAAAUAAAUGUUGGAGAUCAUAAGAACGUAAAAUAUCCAACAGAAAAGGUGAGCAAGUCACCUAAUAGGAAAUUAGGAAUAAACUAUAGUACUCCUUAUUUAAUGAUGAAGCAUGUUUUUUUUUUUUUCAUUAGGGAAUAUCACUUCAUUUACAAUCACCAAUCCUGCUACGAAGGUAUUUCCUAAUUAAAAGUAGUUUUGCUUCAACUUUCCAAAGUUACGACCUUGUAGUUCAUUUCCAACGUCACUUAUAGAGUUCUAGUAGCUAUGCUAUUUACUUAAACCCAAUUUCAGUUACCAAUUUAUUGAAUUUGAUGAUUAUCCAGGUGGAGAGAUCAAUUAUUUGUUCAAUUGCUGUCAAAUUAUUUCAGACUCAGAAAAGGUGAGUCUAUUGUAUUGAGUUGGGCUAUAUGAUAGUAUACCUAAGAUUCUCCAGAGCUAUAGUUCUAUAUUUAUGAUGGUGUGUUAGUAUAUGAUCUAUUGGCAUAAUUUGUUGGUGUGUUUGAAAAAUUGAUGUUCCAUAGGCAAGCUCAAGUUGUUUAUACAUUUUAACAUGGACCAUAAAAACUAAUAAUACAUUUUAAUUUAUCGUGAUUUCAACGCGUAAGAGUAAAAUGCAUGUUAUGGAGACUUACUCAAGUGCAAGAUAAUGCUCACUACGCCCGUGGAGAUGUAACUCUUGAAGAAGUGAAUGUCGGUGAACGAGCACGUGUCU